rnacentral:rRNA from 1 species
GUUCCUACGGGGGGCAGCAGUGAGGAAUAUUGGUCAAUGGGCGAGAGCCUGAACCAGCCAAGUCGCGUGAGGGAGUACUGCCCUAUGGGUUGUAAACCUCUUUUGUCGGGGAGCAAAAGCCGGGCGUGUCCGGCUGUGAGAGUACCCGAAGAAAAAGCAUCGGCUAACUCCGUGCCAGCAGCCGCGGUAAUACGGAGGAUGCGAGCGUUAUCCGGAUUUAUUGGGUUUAAAGGGUGCGUAGGCGGUUUGUCAAGUCAGCGGUAAAAAUUCC